rnacentral:rRNA from 1 species
AUUGAACGCUGGCGGCAGGCCUAACACAUGCAAGUCGAACGAGUGGCGGACGGGUGAGUAAUGCCUGGGAAACUGCCUGACGGAGGGUGAUAACUACCGGAAACGGUAGCUAAUACCGCAUACCAUCGGAUGUGCCCAGAUGGGAUUAGCUAGUGGGUGGGGUAAAGGAUCACCUAGGCGACGAUCCCUAGCUGGUCUGAGAGGAUGACCAGCAAAACUGGAACUGAGACACGGUCCGGACUCCUACGGGAGGCAGCGGUGGAGAAUGUAGUAUGAUGGGCUCGAGCCUAAUGAGGACAGGCCGCGUGUAUGGAGGAAGCAUGCGGGUAGUAAAGUACUGUCAGCGGGAGGGCGUUACCCGCUGAAGAAGCACCGGCUAACUCCGUGCCAGCAGCCGCGGUAAUUC